CUGGAGAGCGGCGCCCGCCCGGACAGCGGCGCCCACCGAAGGGGCAACGCGGGCGCAGCCCGCGGAAACUCUCAGGUCACAGGACAG
rnacentral:ncRNA from 2 species